rnacentral:rRNA from 1 species
CACGUAGGGGGCGAGCGUUGUCCGGAAUCAUUGGGCGUAAAGAGCUCGUAGGCGGCUCGGUAAGUCGGGUGUGAAACCCCCAGGCUCAACCUGGGGACGCCACCCGAUACUGCUGUGGCUAGAGUCCAGUAGGGGAGUGUGGAAUUUCCGGUGUAGCGGUGAAAUGCGUAGAUAUCGGAAGGAACACCGAGUGGCGAAAGCGGCUUCCUGGUCCAGCACCGACGUUCAGGCACGAAAGCGUGGGGAGCAAACAGG